ACGCUAGCGAUAGGCUUAACACAUGCAAGUCGAGGGGCAGCAUGGUCUUAGCUUGCUAAGACUGACGGCGACCGGCGCACGGGUGCGUAACGCGUAUGCAACUUGCCUCACAGAGGGGGAUAACCCGUCGAAAGACGGACUAAUACCGCGUACACUCUAUGUUGGGCAUCCAAUGUAGAGGAAAUGAACUUCGCUGUGAGAUAGGCAUGCGUCCCAUUAGCUAGUUGGUGAGGUAACGGCUCACCAAGGCGACGAUGGGUAGGGGAACUGAGAGGUUGAACCCCCACACUGGUACUGAGACACGGACCAGACUCCUACGGGAGGCAGCAGUGAGGAAUAUUGGUCAAUGGGCGAGAGCCUGAACCAGCCAAGUCGCGUGAAGGAUGACUGUCUUAUGGAUUGUAAACUUCUUUUAUACGGGAAUAACAAGAGUCACGUGUGGCUCCCUGCAUGUACCGUAUGAACAAGCAUCGGCUAACUCCGUGCCAGCAGCCGCGGUAAUACGGAGGAUGCGAGCGUUAUCCGGAUUUAUUGGGUUUAAAGGGUGCGUAGGCGGCCUGUUAAGUCAGCGGUGAAAUCUAGGAGCUUAACUCCUAAAUUGCCAUUGAUACUGGCGGGCUUGAGUGUAGAUGAGGUAGGCGGAAUGCGUGGUGUAGCGGUGGAAUGCAUAGAUAUCACGCAGAACUCCGAUUGCGAAGGCAGCUUACUAAGGUACAACUGACGCUGAAGCACGAAAGCGUGGGUAUCAAACAGGAUUAGAUACCCUGGUAGUCCACGCAGUAAACGAUGAUAACUGGGCGUAUGCGAUAUACAGUAUGCUCCUAAGCGAAAGCGUUAAGUUAUCCACCUGGGGAGUACGCCGGCAACGGUGAAACUCAAAGGAAUUGACGGGGGCCCGCACAAGCGGAGG
rnacentral:rRNA from 1 species